GAUUGGGGGAGCACAGCCGCUGAGCUGUGGGAAAGGCCUGCCCGUGGCUGUGCUUGCGUCUCUGUGCCCUCCUGAGUGGAGACGAGAGGGCUCCAUCUCCUCCAAGAUGUCACCGAAUCUCUCCAGUGCCCCCACAGAGAAACAAGCCCUGGCACCGGCUGCGCAAAAAGGCAAGAGCAAAUCUCGCAAAAUCGUCUCUUAGUGAAGUUUCCCCUCAGCUGAACAGAACCCGAGACCACGCUUUUUCCAAGGUGCUGUGAUUUACGCUCCUCGCUUUCCUCGGCAGCUUCUGGCCGCGCUGCGGGGCGGGGGGGGGGACAUGAGCCCAUCCCCGUGUGUGCU